CAAUUCGGACCAUAACAAAUGUAACUUCCUGUGUCCGUCAACUAUAUCGGUCCCUCGUGAAACUCAAACCCAAAUUACAAUAGUUCCUUUGGUGACUGUCGUGUUGACAGUGAUGAGCACUCACGGAUUUCCGACUUACGUUCUGACUUUCAUUUUACCGUAUCAAUCCAUGGAAGAAACAUUUAUUCAUCAUGAGGAAACGAGCAAGUUAUACACCAGCCUUUAAAAGAAAAGUCACAUCCGUUUUGUUUUCUCCUAGAUUCUGCUACCCAGGAUCAUAUCACACGGCGGCGGCGAGCAAUUUACAGCUCGUCGGACUCGCUCCCCUGCUGCAGGCAGGAGAGCUCGUUUGCUGGGGAAGCAGCUGGACAAACCGGCCGACGUCGGAGGGGCACAUAGCUGCCACAUGGUCAACACGAAUAUAAUGCUCUACUACACGGCGAAGACUUAAACAGUGAGAAAGCAGCAUGCAGUUGUUGUGCAGCAACAUGGCACGAUGUGUCUAAGGAGAACUUUUCUACAUGUCCGUCCAUAAUUAAACGUAAGUAAGUAGGUAAGUAAAUAGUCUUUUAUUUUAAAAAGUUUGCAGUGUUUACUUUGUAAUCUCUGUAUUCGUGGCCAUUUUUAACGCAAAGGUACAAUUUCUGAUAGUGUUGAAAAUUUAACAGAACACCGGGCACACAAGAGGGCAAUAAGCCGAGUAUAGACCCCAAUCACCAACGUCACACAAUCACGUGCUCGCUGUAUUGUGCCGCCAUAUUGUCCGUCAUUGUGUGUCAUAUUGUCAAUGAUCGUAGUUUGUAAAGGUGGAUUCACUUGCAAAUUAUAGAAGCCCCGGUGCUUUUAGCCGCUGUAAACUCAUUGGAUGAGUUGCAUAAAAGCCGUUAUUUGGAAAAGCUUUGGUCGUUCCAGUCGCCAGGUCCAUAUUUGAUGCCCAAACCGAUGUUCCCUCCCGUCCGGUCCCAUCCCGUGCGUCAGAGCUCGUCCUGAGACCACAAAAUUUCCCAUCAUACUCCAGUUUAUGUCAAGAUGAGGAGUCGGGUACCCAAAAUCGGCACCGGCCCGAAUAUGAACCGACAUUUGGUCUGCUGAGCGUCACCGUUGUCAUGAUUGUAAAAUGAAAUUUGAUCGACAACGGGCCGGUGUGUGCCGAAAAAUAGCUGGCCCGCGUGUAAUGUUCCCCCUGCCGGGAGCGCUUAUUUGUAAUGCUUUAUUGACGUGCGCAUUACAGUAAUGGAUUUACAACUGUAAGAUCAGUUUUAGAUAAUUAAAUUACACAAAAUUUUAGUAAUGUAUUUUAGUAACAAAUCGUGGACUGGACCACAUAACCAUCUUUGAACAGAAAUGUAUUAGUCUACAGCAGACAUAUCCAAAGUGCGGCCCGGGGGCCAAAUGCGGCCCUUGGUCAAAUUUUAUCCGGCCCCCAGCCUCUGUCAUAAGACCAAUAAUGUCUGGCCCGCACACAGACUUAAUAAAUUGGUCAGCAGUACUGCUACCAGUAUAUGAAGUAGCUUACACAUUAAAUGCUGCUCCUCAUUUACCCACUAAAAGGCAGCAGCACUUUAAGCAACGUUACCCCCUGUGACGCUUGACUUCCAAUUUUCUAAAAUGGCAACAAUCAACCAAAAAAAAAAGUUGACUGCUACGGCCGACGCUUCAAGGAUAGGUGGAAAUUGGAAUAUUUCUUCACUAAAAUACACAACAACUGUGUCUGCCUCAUUUGCAAAGAGACAGUCGCUGUUUUUAAAGAGUUCAAUGUGAGGCAAUAUCACCAAACUUGAACUUGACAUGUACGACAAGAUUACAGGGAAGAUACGAAGCGAGAAACUGAAGCAACUUGAAGGUAGUUUAAUUUCACAGCAGCAAUUUCCUGAGAGUCGAACGCCACAAGGGCUAGUUGCGAGAUUCUUGAAAUUAUUCAAUAAAAAUAAUAAUAAUAAAGCAAAUGUGAGACACAGAUUGGCUUGCUAAAAUUUGCUUAAAUAUAUUGUUCUACGUAAAGGACGUCAGCCAAGGUCGGCCCCCCACAUUCUUACCACACCAAAUCUGGCCCCCUUUGCAAAAAGUUUGGACACCCCUGGUCUACAGGUUUUCACGACCAUAUCCCAAUGACAAUCACACAGGUAUGACAUUUAUUAGUUCAAGCAAAGUAAAAUAAUACAUAUUCAUGGUACAAGAAAGUCGUUUCCGUGUGGGCGCUCCCGUCAGGGGGGACAUUUCACGCAGGGCGGCUAUUUUUCGGCACAACACUUGUUGUCGCGCUCACCUUCUUGCUGCGCGACCGUGGCGACGAGCUUCAUAGUCUCCGUCUGAUGAUGUCUACAAUCGUGUUGGCAUCAUAUUGAUGUUUUCGCCGCUGUCUAAAGGCUGUCGACACAAACGCAUCAUGGACAAACCGUGCUGCUUUCGAGAUUUGCCCUUUUAACAAUGGGCACACAGCCACUACUAAAAUGACCUUUUAUCUUCUCUGUUACUGCAACCAACCGCCACAUAUCUCGUCACCAUUUUGAUUAAUCAAUGUUAACGAUUGUCAGGAAGGUUUUUGGGAUCGUUUACUAGGCGGUGAUUCCUUAGACAAGCAGAAAAACACGCAGUAAUAGGAGGAAUGUAAAUAGCGGUAAUAUGUAAACACGAUGAGCUGACGGACAAUAUGGCGGCACCAGUCAGGGGGGCGGAGUUGUGAUGUCACGUGAUUGGGGUCUAUAGCUCUCUCCCGGGAGGCACGCAAAGGUCCGAGGGGGGUGUGCGACAAGCCGCCGGUCGUCGGUCGAGUGGCAUUCUCGGUGGACAAUCAGGUACAAAAUGCAAGCCACCUCGAUAUUAAAACGUGUGCCAUUAUCCCAGUAUUUGACAUAAUACAAAAUAUGAUAUUUACUCACUUCCUCGUAAGUCCAAUGAUCCCACAGUAGUAGGGCUUGUUUUGGCCAGUAUCCGCGGUGAAUCGGAACCUUUUGAAACCCAAAAAGGCUUACACGCCUCUCCAUGGUGCAGCAACAAUUUUCUGUACCACAUUUGGCUGUCGUGAUACGAAAAAGAAAUAAACUAAUCCAAGAAAUCAGCUGAAUCCGCAGUCCAUCUGCAUGCUAUAAAGCAACAAUGUAUUGUGAGAUGCAGACCCGGCUGACGUCACAUUUGAAUUUGUCCUCUAAACAGGAAGUUAUUCAUUUUCAUGGUGCGGGAUUCAAAAAAUUGAAAAAAAUAAAACGAUCGCUUUCACACACAUCCAAACGGUCCAUUUCAUUCGGGAGCAUAAAAUACCGCGUGAAAUAUGUAAUAAACAUGCUUUUUGUUGUCAUAUGCACUUUAAGUGUCAAAAUAUAUCACCCAGCAGUUUACCCGCUUGUCUGGAGGGGUCCGCAAAAUAAUUCCACUCGCACCCAACUCACGCACCCCCACACACGCACACCCACUGGACGAUAGUCUUGAGGAGACUGCGAUAGUGUGACCCGCGAAUAAUUUUCCACUGGCACCCCAACCCCGUUCGGGAGUCCCGUUUAUGCUCAUUGCACCCGGACCCUGUUCACGUUUGUUCCGCCACUGGUACUGCCCUUUGUCAACUAGUCUGUGAAUAACUUUUUGGGACAAUUACAGCCUAAAUUCUCUGGGGUAUUGAUUCAUACAACUUGUGGAUUGUUACCAAAGGAAUUUUAAGCCAUUCUUCAGUUAGAAUACCCUCUAACUCUUUUAGAGACGGUGGCGGUGGAAAUCGACGUCUUAAUUGAAUCUCUAAAACUGACGAUAAUUGUUAAAAAAUGUUAACGUUGGGGGAUUGUGCCGGCCAUACAAGAUGCUCAACUUCAUUAGAAUGUUCUCAAUGCCAUUGUUUAACAAUUACAGUAUGUUCAAUGAUUAUGAUGCCAAUAUGCUAGAUGUUUCCAUUUUGUGUCGAACCCCUGUAAAUGUGUAGUCAAAACAGUAAUAAAUGGUGUCUGAAUGCUCUCUUUUUUGGAAAUAGGGUGAGAAGACUGGUUAUGGGAGGGCAUUACAGUAGAGCUGCUGCCCUUCUUCACUGAUGGGAGGUUGCUCAAGAAACUAGUUUGAUUGCCUCCUGAAUGCCUCCUUGGUGGUUCAGAGCUAAUCUGGGGAAACACGGAAGAGACUACAUGUCUAACCACUUCUUUGGAAAUGAUUUAGUAGAUUAAUUACAGUGGUAUAAAAAAGUAUCUGAACUUUUUGGAAUUUCUGCCCUGCCCACUAUAAAACACACACCAGGUAAGAAUUGUCUUGAUGAGAAGCAUUUUCUGAUGUGCAUCAUGACUCGGUCAAAAGAGCUGUCUGAAGACCUGCAAUCAAGGAUUGUUGAUUUGUAAAAAGCUGGGAAAGGAUACAAAACCCAUCUCUAAAAGUUCGGAUUUUCAUCAAUCGACAGUCUUAGAAGUUGUCUACAAAUAAAGAGAGUUUGGCACUGUUGCUUCUCUCCCAGGUGUGGCCAUCCAUCAAAGAUGACGCCAAGAGUUCAGUACAGAAUACUCAGAGAGGUAAAAAAGAACCCUAGAGUGUCUGCUAAAUGUGGUGGUCCUUGCCCACACUCCCCUCUGCUGGCUUUUAUUGGUAUAACACUUCCUGUUUUUGAUGUCUGGAAUCACUCCAAUCUUGGCUCACCUGGGAGCGCACCUGAAGCUCAUCAUCAAUCAACACUGCUCAUAAGGAUCGGCCUGGACAGCAAGCAGGUGCCAGAUGAUUCUGCCAGUCACCAUUGGACACCCACCCAUCAAAGCCCUCACAGCCACAGCCAUUGAUCACUCAACCCACCAGCCGCUCAGCACUUUGUCCUUGUACAAUAAAUACCACUUCACACUUCAUCUGUUUCCGGCUCGCAUUUUGGUCCAAAUCAACUUUUUU